rnacentral:tmRNA from 1 species
GGGGCUGACUAUAGCUUUCGACGGAAGGACAUUAACAGGUUAUUCUGCAAGUCGACUAUACACGUACGUAUAUUUUUAAUUGCAAAAUCUAUUGCUAGUAUCAAGGGAUCACUUGCUUCUUUCGCGUCAGCGUUCGAAGUAAAGACUCCUGCGAUGCAACUCGCAGCCUAAUCGCUCGAGCAUCCUUCGUUAGUAGGUGACAUAGCGACAAGGGGUGUUAUAUACAUGUCACUCACCAGACUCAUGCGCAGCGGCAUAAGCCUGGGACAUUUUACCGCGUGACGCGCGAAUCAUUUCUGUUUGUGUUUUAGAUUCAAGCGUCGUUAAUUACCAAGACAAACUAUGCUUGUAGAUGAAUAGCCAGUUACCUUUCGGACCGGGGUGCGAUUCCCCGCAGCUCCACCA